CUACGGGGUGCUACAGUGAGGAAUAUUGCACAAUGGGGGGAACCCUGAUGCAGCAACGCCGCGUGGAGGAUGACGCAUUUCGGUGUGUAAACUCCUUUUAUAUGUCAAGAAAAUGACGGUAGCAUAUGAAUAAGCACCGGCUAACUCCGUGCCAGCAGCGCGCGGUAAUACGGAGGGUGCAAGCGUUACUCGGAAUCACUGGGCGUAAAGGACGCGUAGGCGGGUUGGAAAGUCAGGUGUGAAAUCCUACAGCUUAACUGAAGAACUGCACUUGAAACUUCUAAUCUAGAGUAUGGGAGGGGGAGAUGGAAUUAGUGGUGUAGGGGUAAAAUCCGUAGAUAUCACUAGGAAUACCUAAAGCGAAGGCGAUCUCCUGGAACAUUACUGACGCUAAGGCGUGAAAGCGUGGGGAGCAAACAGGAUUAGAUACCCGAGUAGUC
rnacentral:rRNA from 1 species